GUCUAAUUAUGUAAUCAGGGUGAACGCAAAUAAUAUUAUAAAUAUAUCCAAGCGACGGCAAACAACCUUACCUUGGUUCUGUCUAGCUACGUGGCAUUUGUAUAUUUUUAAACCUUCAUGUAUAAUAGUUGGGACACCUGGUAUAUAUGCAGCGUCUUUGUAGUUAUACGCAAUGGCUAGCUUCACAAAGUCUGCGCACCAUAGCUGUUAUUUGCUAUGAGAGUCAUAAUUUUUGCUCUAAAUUAGAGUCGCCAAGCACAUAGGAAAAAAAGUUAUUUGUUAUCACGAUUGCCUAUACCGGGGCUUCUUUUAUUAUUUUUUGGAAGUCCAAAAUUUAUAAAAAAAAUGCCUCUGCACUACAUUAAUCCUCCUCCAGUCCACAGCAUUUUCAGGCAUCGAGGAAAAUGCAUGGAUGAAUUUUUUGCCUUCCACCGACAAAAGACAUCGCCGAGAGCUAGUGGGGCUAUACUAGUCAAAGUGAAACCAAAUAGACCUUAUUUCAAGCUAUCCCAGAAACCACUGCGGGCGCGCAGUGCAGCAUGGGAAAAGUAUGUAUGCCGGCGGGGACGAGGUCGGGCCGGGUCGGGCCGGCAGAGUCUGGCAAGCACUCCACGUGGGGAGCGAAAAGCUGCGACGCGAGAAGCGUUAAAUCCAGGUCUGGUGAAGGCAGUUCGUCAACGCAGCUUCUCUAUCCGCAUCGUGACACGCUCGCGUCUUCUGAAUAAACCACCAAGUGCAUCGCGUGAGGUGCAGCAAUGGCCUCUGUGAAAGAGAGGCCGGUACUUGCUCCACAGGAAUUUCAGGCUCUUAAAGGCCCAUGGACAAAGCAAAUGAAAGGUUUUCCAGCCACCUUUUGUGAGGCAAGCAUCCUGCAGUUUGAAAACCCACAUGGAGCCAAGAAGCACUGUUCUUCUGGAUACCGUAUGUUUAAAGCUGACAAAGUGAGCUCUGUGCUUUUGCACUACGGCACUGACAUUACAUUUAAUAAAGCAAGUGUCCAGGCACAUUUUUAAUUAAGCGAGAUGUAUGACACUAGCUGCGUACUCGCCUCCGACGGCAAAGUCCAAAGUGGUCGGUGCACAUGUGCGGAUGGUGCAGGAGGCGUGUGCAAGCAU
rnacentral:lncRNA from 1 species